UACGGGGGUGCAAGCGUUAUUCGGAUUUAUUGGGCGUAAAGCGCGUGUAGGCGGCUUGAUAAGUCUGGCGUGAAAGCCUGAAGCUCAACUUCAGAAGUGCGCUGGAAACUAUCGAGCUUGAGUACUGGAGGGGGAAGGGGAAUUCUCGGGUGUAGAGGUGAAAUUCGUAGAUAUCCGGAAGAACAUCAGUGGCGAAGGCGCCUUCCUGGACAGAUACUGACGCUGAGACGCGAAAGCGUGGGGAGCAAACAGGAUUAGAUA
rnacentral:rRNA from 1 species